UACGUAGGUGGCAAGCGUUAUCCGGAAUUAUUGGGCGUAAAGCGCGCGCAGGCGGUUUCUUAAGUCUGAUGUGAAAGCCCACGGCUCAACCGUGGAGGGUCAUUGGAAACUGGGGAACUUGAGUGCAGAAGAGAAAAGCGGAAUUCCACGUGUAGCGGUGAAAUGCGUAGAGAUGUGGAGGAACACCAGUGGCGAAGGCGGCUUUUUGGUCUGUAACUGACGCUGAGGCGACGAAAGCGUGGGGAGCAAACAGG
rnacentral:rRNA from 1 species